AAAAGUGCCGGACUGAUUUCUAAAUGCGCCUGAUCUUGUCUGAUCUCAGAAGCUAAGUAGGAUUGGGCCUGGUUAGUACUUGUA
rnacentral:rRNA from 1 species